rnacentral:rRNA from 1 species
UGGGGAAUCUUGCGCAAUGGGCGAAAGCCUGACGCAGCGACGCCGCGUGGGUGAUGAAGGCCUUCGGGUUGUAAAGCUCUGUGGGGAGAGACGAAUAAGACGUGGCUAACAUCCACGGCGAUGACGGUAUCUCCUUAGCAAGCACCGGCUAACUCUGUGCCAGCAGCCGCGGUAAGACAGAGGGUGCAAACGUUGUUCGGAAUUACUGGGCGUAAAGCGUGUGUAGGCGGCCACGUAAGUUGGAUGUGAAAGCCCGGGGCUCAACCCCGGAAGGGCAUUCAAUACUGCAUGGCUUGAGUAUCGGAGAGGUUGGUGGAAUUCUCGGUGUAGAGGUGAAAUUCGUAGAUAUCGAGAGGAACACCGGUGGCGAAGGCGGCCAACUGGACGAAUACUGACGCUGAGACACGAAAGCGUGGGGAGCAAACAGG